rnacentral:tRNA from 1 species
AUAUCGAUAGGUCAUGUGUUCGAUCCACAUUUGCCCCUGGGGUAGAAGCUCAGUGGUUGAGCAAUCGAUUGCAGUU